rnacentral:rRNA from 1 species
UACUCCCUCUGGCGGCGUGCUUAACACAUGCAAGUCGAACGGAAAGGCCCUGCUUUUGUGGGGUGCUCGAGUGGCGAACGGGUGAGUAACACGUGAGUAACCUGCCCUUGACUUUGGGAUAACUUCAGGAAACUGGGGCUAAUACCGGAUAGGAGCUCCUGCUGCAUGGUGGGGGUUGGAAAGUUUCGGCGGUUGGGGAUGGACGCGCGGCUUAUCAGCUUGUUGGUGGGGUAGUGGCUUACCAAGGCUUUGACGGGUAGCCGGCCUGAGAGGGUGACCGGCCACAUUGGGACUGAGAUACGGCCCAGACUCCUACGGGAGGCAGCAGUGGGGAAUAUUGCACAAUGGGCGGAAGCCUGAUGCAGCAACGCCGCGUGCGGGAUGACGGCCUUCGGGUUGUAAACCGCUUUCGCCUGUGACGAAGCGUGAGUGACGGUAAUGGGUAAAGAAGCACCGGCUAACUACGUG